rnacentral:rRNA from 1 species
UACGUAGGGUGCGAGCGUUAAUCGGAAUUACUGGGCGUAAAGCGUGCGCAGGCGGUUUCGUAAGACAGAUGUGAAAUCCCCGGGCUUAACCUGGGAACUGCGUUUGUGACUGCGAGACUUGAGUGCGGCAGAGGGGGGUGGAAUUCCACGUGUAGCAGUGAAAUGCGUAGAGAUGUGGAGGAACACCGAUGGCGAAGGCAGCCCCCUGGGUCGACACUGACGCUCAUGCACGAAAGCGUGGGGAGCAAACAGGAUUAGAUACCCCAGUAGU